UACAGAGGGUGCGAGCGUUAAUCGGAAUUACUGGGCGUAAAGCGCACGUAGGCGGCUUGGUACGUCGGGUGUGAAAUCCCCGGGCUCAACCUGGGAACUGCAUCCGAAACUGCCUUGCUAGAGUAUGGGAGAGGGAAGUGGAAUUUCCGGUGUAGCGGUGAAAUGCGUAGAUAUCGGAAGGAACAUCAGUGGCGAAGGCGACUUCCUGGACCAAUACUGACGCUCAGGUGCGAAAGCGUGGGGAGCAAACAGG
rnacentral:rRNA from 1 species